rnacentral:rRNA from 1 species
UACAGAGGGGGCAAGCGUUGUUCGGAAUUACUGGGCGUAAAGGGCGCGUAGGCGGCCUUCUAAGUCGAACGUGAAAUCCCCAGGCUCAACCUGGGAACUGCGUCCGAUACUGGCAGGCUUGAAUCCGGGAGAGGGAUGCGGAAUUCCAGGUGUAGCGGUGAAAUGCGUAGAUAUCUGGAGGAACACCGGUGGCGAAGGCGGCAUCCUGGACCGGUAUUGACGCUGAGGCGCGAAAGCCAGGGGAGCAAACGGG